rnacentral:precursor_RNA from 8 species
UGAUUUCUCUCAAGUUUGUUGAUUUAUUAGAAAAUAAUGGUCACCCGAGGUGUAACAGCCACUCCGCUUCGCAUCAGCACCUCGGGUGUACAUUAUCAUCUAUUAAUUACAACAACCCAUCAUCAGUUAUU